rnacentral:lncRNA from 1 species
CAAAAAAUGUCUUCACAAAGUAGCAGUUAUAUUUUCACACCUGAAAAGUUUGAUGUACCAUAUAUUUCACUACCUGAUAGACUGCAGCAUUUGGCGACAGAACAUCCCGAAAGAGAGGCAAUGAUAUGCUGGUCAACAGACGGACACAGAAAAUCGAUAACAUAUGCAGAACUUUACACCAGAUCUGAAUUGUUUGCAAAAGGCUUAGCAACAUUUGGAUUUGAGAGAAAUAGCGUUAUUGCUGUGACCAAUACCAACUGUACAGAAUGGCUUGUUUGCACACUUGGGUCACAAAUGGCAGGACU